rnacentral:rRNA from 1 species
GAUCCAGGCUCAGGAUGAACGCUAGCUACAGGCUUAACACAUGCAAGUCGAGGGGCAGCAUGGUCUUAGCUUGCUAAGGCUGAUGGCGACCGGCGCACGGGUGAGUAACACGUAUCCAACCUGCCGUCUACUCUUGGCCAGCCUUCUGAAAGGAAGAUUAAUCCAGGAUGGGACCAUGAGCUCACAUGUCCGCAUGAUUAAAGGUAUUUUCCGGUAGACGAUGGGG